rnacentral:rRNA from 1 species
UGGGGAAUUUUGGACAAUGGGCGAAAGCCUGAUCCAGCAAUGCCGCGUGUGUGAAGAAGGCCUUCGGGUUGUAAAGCACUUUUGUCCGGAAAGAAAUCCUUGGCUCUAAUACAGUCGGGGGAUGACGGUACCGGAAGAAUAAGCACCGGCUAACUACGUGCCAGCAGCCGCGGUAAUACGUAGGGUGCAAGCGUUAAUCGGAAUUACUGGGCGUAAAGCGUGCGCAGGCGGUUUGCUAAGACCGAUGUGAAAUCCCCGGGCUCAACCUGGGAACUGCAUUGGUGACUGGCAGGCUAGAGUAUGGCAGAGGGGGGUAGAAUUCCACGUGUAGCAGUGAAAUGCGUAGAGAUGUGGAGGAAUACCGAUGGCGAAGGCAGCCCCCUGGGCCAAUACUGACGCUCAUGCACGAAAGCGUGGGGAGCAAACAGGAUUAGAUACCCUGGUAGUCCACGCCCUAAACGAUGUCAACUAGUUGUUGGGAUUCAUUUCCUUAGUAACGUACUAACGCGUGAAGUUGACCGCCUGGGGAGUACGGUCGCAAGAUUAAAACUUAAAUGAAUUGACGGGGUCAUA